UAUAAUCAAAGAGUUUCUAAACCCAGACGCGUAACAUGGCAAGCAUACCAGACCUGGAUUUUAGAAGUCAAUGAGAGAAGUAAAAAGUUAUUCCUUAGUUGUUAAUUUUCUCGAAAUCCAAAGGCAUAACCUAUAUUCGAGCCAAGUAGUUGAACAUGUUAUUACUCCAAACUCGUGAAAGUGACAAACUGACGAGUUUUCAUUUUGCUCCCUUUGGAAACGACAGGCUGUGGUCUAUCUUGGGUUAGUUAUACCCAAUGAUGUGUUUCUGCGCAUGAGCAUAGCUAGCCAACGUCGCCAUGACAUCGCCUACAAGUCUUCAUACUGUACUGUCUUUGAUAUAAUAUGUAUCUCUAUAUCUAUUACUGGUACAUAACCAUUAUACCGUAGAAUAAGAAGCUCACUUGCUACAUUUUGACUACGUGAAAUGUAACGUUACAGGCUGAGCAGAAUAAUACGGAUUUAUCGACUUUCAUUCCGGUCAAAAUGUCUAAACUACAGUUGCUGAACGUGUAUGUUACUGAACGACUAACAGCGGCAGUUGCAGAGAUAUCCGUGGCGGUCGACAGAACGGUAGUAGAGUUGUAUGAAGAAAUCUCCCGUUCUAAGGAGGAGAAUAACCGUCUGCGAAGGCUGUUGGAUUUGGUUUUCAACCCGGAGAUAAAGUUACACAAAGCAGAAGACAGAUGGAAGACAUAGUCGGUCACCUGUGCAAAUUAGCUAUCUAGCGUGGGCCGAACACCUGUAUGUAUACAUAACUGGGGAGGAAGUGUCGUUUGACAACUGGGGGCACACACGGCAUAUAGAUCUGUGCAGAAGCCGGUCUGACCCCAGUGCAGCUGUAUAGCAAGUAUGCCCAGCAGCUCACUCUCCCCAUAUCUGAAGAGGAGGUUCCCCCGGAACAGCAGCACUGUGAGCAGGAGUGGAGCCCCAGUCUGGUUCAGGAGGACCCAGUGCCCACACAGAUUAAAGAGGAACAGGAGGAACUACAGACCAGUCAAGAGGAAGAGCAGCUUCUAGGGCUCUUUGAUACCAAAGACUCCAUAUUCACUUCUCCCUGUGUGGAAAGUGACUGUGAUCAGGAGAACCCAUCUCAGCCCUCACAUCUUUACCAAACCCAAACUGUGGAGGACAGAGAGAGGGGUUCUCUACUCACCAACACAUCUAUAGAGAUCAAAAUAGAACCUGAUGGAGAGGAUUACAGAGUAUCAGAACCAGCCAGUGACACUCAGCCCCUCUCUGCAGUAAAUCCAGACUGUUCUGCAGCUCCGAGUGAAAACAUGGAAAGUGAUGAUGAGGUGGAGAGUGGAGGACUACAAUCAGGGUCUAAGACACUCGAAUCAAAAAGAAAACAGAUUGAGAAUGGAGAAAGGUUCCAUACCAGUGCUGGAGGCAGGACGGCCACAAUGUUGCCCCGUUUGACAUCUUCUAGUCAAACGUAUGCUGCUCCUUAUUGUUGCAAGGUUGCCACAGGCCUGAACCAAGCUAAUACAAGAGGACGUCCAGCUGCUGACGCCAUACACCCUCCAAAGCCACCCAAAGUGGUCCGUACUGGAGUUACCGAUGAUGUCCGCACGGAUCAAAUUGAACACUGGCCAGUGAAAUGUGAGACGCGGGGUCGCUGCAAAGUCUGCCAGAAAAAUGUAACGAAUACCCUCUGUCAGAAAUGUGACGUAAGACUGUGUUUCACUUUUGAGAGGAAUUGCUACAAGUUGUACCACAUGCCUUAGUGCAAGAUGUUUACAAUGCAGACAUAAUUACACACUGACAAGAUGAACAACUUGUUCAAUAUAUAUGAUGCUUCUUUUAGAACUUGGAUUUCAGAAGUGAUGAGUCAGGCUUCAUGAUGAACGUUUAUAUUUCAAUGGUUUUAUGACAUUGUAUUGCUGUUGUUAUAUUUAAACGCAAUGUUACACAUUGAUACACACACACUCUCUUCUGUCUUUAUCAGAGUCUAAUAUGUUAUGAAUUAUUAUUGAGAUUUUGUGUAUUUAUGAAGAUUUUGCCAUUUCUUUUGCAAUUCAGGACUUAACUCAGGGUUAUACUUGGUUCACAUUGAAAUAAAGCUGUAAGAUUUGAUAAACUGA